rnacentral:lncRNA from 1 species
UGAGGAGAGCCCCUUUCUGCCCGGGUGAGUUAUUUUGAUAUUUAGGGUAAGGGGGAAAAAAUCCUUUUCAGGUUCUCCAACGGGGGAGCUUUGUAACCUCUUUCCGGCGAGGUGGGAGCUCUCCUUCAUGGUGGAAUUUAAAAAGAACAAUGGAACCCUGACUACGUUUAAACAAAAAUAAAACUUGUGUUUUUUUUUUUUUUCUUUUGGGUGUUGGCUUUUAACUCUUUCAAAGCCGAUUUUGAAAACGGCUGCAGUGUUACAGACAAGAAGGUACUUGCUGCUUAUUAAAACCUUGAUGACGUUAAGGUUGUCUUUUAAAAAUGCAAGUUGGAGAAGUGCCGCUGGUAUUUCAAAAAUUACGAAGAUAAGUUUACUAUGCUGUCGUCUCGGCUGUUUAAUGGAAAUAAAUAGGUUUUAAUUACGAGAGUAGACGAUGACGUUUGAUCAAGAUAGUUUAUUUUGCGGACUAGUUACGCCAAGAUUAGUUGACAUUCUGGUGUUUGAAUAAUGAUUAAAUAUACUGUUGGGUACUUUUUAAAAGGUCAUAAGGAGCCGUUAUCUGUAACUUACCACACCUGAAUGUUAGAACGUACUUGGAUCAGUUCCUGGACUUCUAAAAGUUGAAGUUCAUCAUUUUAUUAUUUUUAAAAAUAAUGUAUGUUAGGUCAAGCCGUGGUCGACGAAACUUUUACAAAGGAAUAUUCUGACGCCAAAUCUCUUUGUGAAGUUACUUUCUCUUAGUGUAAAUAUUAAAGUAGGACUGUUCUCGGUAAUGGGCGAUGAAGAGGAGCCAUAUUUGUUGCAUUUGUUGCAUGCAUAAAAAUCUAGAUCUGCUGAAAACGGAAGAGUAUUUUAAUAAUAAAUACUGCUUUCUCAAGAAUUUGCGGAGUCCUCUAUAGUUUUGAGUUUAAAAAACUGAGAGGGAAUUUAAGUUUAAUGGUUUGAGGAGCAAACCACAAAUGCACAAACCUUUGUGUAUUUUGUAAUAUAUUUGUCUUCAUUCUGCGGUAGCUCUCGUGUUGUAAAGGUGCAGAUCUACGUAAAAACAGUGUUGGGCAGAUUUACGUAGUACUUAGAAAAUCAGAGUUACUGGUGUAAUCGACCGUAUUUCUGAUGGUAUUUUUUUUGUCAGUGAAAUUGCUUUAUUUCUGAAAGGCAUUCAUAUAGUGCUACAUGUUACAUCAGUUGCGCAUAUCUUGAUUUACAGAAUCUUAAAUAUCAAUUUUGGUUUUUCAAAACCGCAUUUUUUAUAUUUGAACACUGAAAGAAGUUUUAAACGUAUAUUCUGAAUCUGUUUUUUCAGGCUCCUUUUUUGAAUAGUGAAAUGCAAAAUAAUUGCUAGCAAUUUAACCUCGUAGGAUCUUUUUAUGGGAGAAAUGGGGGAAGGGAGAGACAAAAUUUCCAAGACCCUGGUUUGAAAUUGAAUAAAGGUCAUAGGCACUACAUGUUUUAGACUUGCUUAAAAGACAAAGCUAAUAUCUCACUUGGUGAGAUCAAAUAACUUGUGGUUUAAAAAUUUAAAGUAACCAGUAGCCAUUUUAACUUCACUAAUUUCUCCUGGAGGAGUUAAUUUUUAAUUGUUUGUAAUUGUAAAAGGUAUUUCUAGAUGGUUAAUGUAAUUUUUAAGAUGAUUUCAGUGUUUAAGCAGGGUAAACUUUUCCUUUGUUUUUGUGUAUUGCCUGGCAUCAAAAGAAAAAUAAAAAUGAGGUUAUAAUCUUAAAUCUGUCUGGAGAUAUGAAUUUUCUGUAGUUUAUUUAAUCUCCGUGCCUUAAUCUCUAGUGUUUAUUCAUGCCACCAAAAGAUGAGGAAAACAAAGACUGAUAGAUUAUUAAGAUAAGAAAUAACUGCAUCCUUAACUGUAAAGGUGGUGUGUCCAUGAGCCGUCCCUAAAUUUGCCCAUAGAUCAUGUAUUUGGAAUAUUUUCUUAUUGUUUCAUCACACUGAAACUUUGGCCAAGAAAUGUUUAAAAAUCAAAACAUUGAUACAUCUUUUUUUUUUUUUUUUUUAAGGUAACUUACCAGAUUAAAUAUGGUUGAUGAUGGUUCUGAACAAAUACAGCUUUUAUGAGGUAAGGCUGGGUAAAUUUUAAUUACUUUAACAUAAAAAGCCUAUUUGGUUUUUAUUUUGCUCUUUGAUAAAUUUGUAUUUCCAAUGAGUAGUGAUUAUGAGCAUGAAUAACUGAAUAUCUGAAAUAAUUUGACAAAGCCUUUAAACCUUUCCGUUAAAUGAAAAGUGUAUGUGCUUAGCCAUUGUAACUUAAUGUGCCUUUUGAAUAGUUUAAAAUACUGAAGGUCCCUUAAGCCUUUGUUUAAUUUGGGGAACAAGAAAAGACUGAUUAUAUUUUGAGAAAAACUGUGAACCAAAGAUACAUUUUUUUCUUUGUAAUUCUCUAAUAUGUUGUGCAAAUUAAUUUUUAAAGUAUUUAUAAAGAAAUGAAUUUAUUGGAAAAUUUGAGCUAGUUAGUAUUCGUAGUAAGUAGAUUUUAGGGAAGAACAUUUUAAAAAUCAAGUUUUGUGAGCAUGGAUUUUUUGUUUUCUUUAUACAAUAAAAGUUUUAAAACAUUUCUACUUGCUAUUUGUUGUUCCAUCAAUAAAUUGUUUAGAAUAUUGGUGUAUUUCCCCCUCCCCCCCAAAAGGUAUGCCAUUUUGAAGACUGAGACCGUGGAGUUUUAUCCUUGAGGAUAAAGGAAAUAUUUGCAAAAGUCUAUUUUAUAUAGCAAGUAAGUAAAUGUUUUAUUCAACAUCUGAAAUUUAAUAGCUACCAACAUUUGAGUAGGAAAAUAUCACUAAGUUGGUCAAUGAAACAAAAUGUAGACUGUUCAUCUCAAAAAAGAGAUGAGAAAAAAGCCCAUCAAAUUCCUUUAUCUCACAUCAAAGCACUUUUAUAUUAUAAUAAAACAGUUGAUACACGUAAUUUAUAUCAGAGCAGUAAGAUGGUCAUUACUUUCCAAUAAUCUGCUGCUUCAGGAUUAUGGUUAAAUCAGUAGUUAUCAGAGUUGUAUGUCUUUAUAAUCUGAAAUUCUUCAGCCAUUUUUUGGAUGAUGAAGGUCACAUUUUGGAAAUGGUUUAGAAUUUUGUAUUUGCUGAUCUUAACAUUUCUUAAAAGAACUGUAUUUUAAAAACUGAAGACACUUUCGUAUUUUAGUUCUUAUUAAUGGAAUUAAUACGUUCAUUUUAACUGUUGUUAUGAGUUUGUUUUCAAACUCGUACUAAAGUGAGUUAUCUUACAGGAAAUUAGAAUAACGCAUCUAAAGAGACCUAAUCUUUAACUUUGUAAUUGUUUUUAAAGCAUAAAAGGAACAAAUAAUUUUCAACAUGUAUAUAAUACUUUCACAUCUUAAAACUACAUAUGUGAAUGAAAAAAUACGUCUGCGGUAAUUUUCAAGAAAGGUGUUUUAUAAGUUAACACUGAACAUGGAAAUUACUGUCAAGCUGAUGUUGGGGAUUUAGCAGAGGAAAUAUGUAUAUAUAGUACCUUCGGAAAUUUUAAGAAUAGCCAAAUUAGCCAAAUAAGUAAUAUAAAGGCAAGUUUACCUUUGUCCUUGAAAUGUGGAAAUUCUUUUAUCUGUUGAUGUUGGCUAAUUAUAUCAUUGAGAUAGGUGAUAAAGGUAAUAUUUUUAUUGCCUUUGUUUUAGCUUAAUUUUUCCUUUUCAGUCAUUUUGCAGUUUGAUCAAAUUUGUGUUUUAGUGUGCAAAAGAAAACUAAAUGUUAGACCUGUAACUAUAGUGUUUUUAAAGAUCUUAUAUAUAUAUAAAAAAUCAAAAUCUAUUUCAUCUUAACCUUUGACACAAAUGCCAAGGUUAUGGUUUCCUGUAUGUAAAUGAUAACGAUAUUAGAUUAGCAUUCACAUGUGGUUGGUCACUGUCAUAAAAAUUGAGAAUUGGGCCUUUUGGACCCAAAUGUAUGUGAAAUGUAAUGUAAUUUUAAGUACAAAUCAGCAAUAAAUUUGUAAUGGCCUAUCAAAGGUGCAGUUUGACCCAUUAAAAUAAAAAGUGAAUGGUUGAAGGUUAGAAAUGUUAAAUGAUUUGGUUUUUAUGUUUUUUACUCCAGUAUCAAGAAUUAAAAAAAUAUUUAAGUGAUACAGUAAUUUCUAAAUUAAUCCUCAAUAUAAUGGAUUGCAGCUUCUCUUUUAUCACCAACAAGAUGAACGAUUAUAGCAAGUCACAUUUUAAAAAGGUCUUACAUGUACUUGAACUUUAAUGCUGAUGCUGCUUAUAUUUAGUGUUUUGAUAUUUGCUGUAAAAUAUUGCUUGUAAAAUAGGCAGUAGUUACCAGAUUUCAUAUAAAAAGUAACUCUGGUUUACUGCUAUAUUCUGCUUAAGAACCAAAGUGAUACUUCAAUACUUGUUUUUAUUUCGGCAUUUUGAACUAAUUUUUGGAUCCUAAAAAUCAUUACUAGGUUGAACUGGUGAUAGGUUUUAUUGCAUUUGUUAUUAUGGUACUAUUUAAAAAAUUACCUGAAAUUCCACAGAAAGGAAAGCAGCCAUGUUCUGUCCAUAGUUAAUCACAAGAUUUUCACGAACUAUGGUAUGACACUUAGAGGCUAGAUUAUGCGAUAGAGGUAUGUAUGUUGAAUAUAAAUUUUCUUUCAAGUUGAAUUUACUGUUAUUCUUAGUUUUUUGAUUAUUUAAAAAUUUGGACUGUGGACAACCAGUUAAUUUACUUAUUUGCUCCGGGUUUUUUCUUUGUUGAGAGGCUUAAGGGGAAACAGACUAUGAGGACAUCUCCAUCUUCUUCAUUCAUGAGAGGUGUGUGUGAUAAGAGUGGAAAUCAGGAAAUCGGCAAUCAGGAAACCGAGCUUCUAAAUGUAGAUUAGCCCUGUAAUCUUGAUAUAUUUCACUGCAGACCUUGUCUUCUAAUCUAUAGAAAGUAUUUGGAGUUUCUAAUCUCUUAAAAUAUCUUUUAGCCUUUAAUUGUGUGAUAAAAAUAAUAGUUAAGGAGUAUCUUAUACAAACUGGAGAAUAGUUUUUGUAAUUUUGCAUAAUAAAUAUAUGUGCUGUUUCUGUGAAGAAAUGAUUUGAAUAACAUGACCCCUGGGUGAUAGUGUACCCGACUUUUUUGAUUGUAGGCAUUCCCAAAUAUUAAUAAUCUAAAUGCAGAUGUUGGAAAAUUGAUCUUGAAAACCAGUUAAGGUGUGAAAUUGUAUUUAAACAAGUGAGAUUUAGAAUGCUGCAAUAAAAAAUUGCUGGGUUAAAUAAAUAUACUUAAAAUUUAGUGUAUUCAAUGUAACACUUAUAGCUGGCUAUCACAACUAUAAAUAAGGAUUUGUAGUUUACAUGCUUGACAUAAUCUAUUUAAUUUCCUUUCAAAAAUUUUUAUAUUUCAAAGACACAAGCUAUCUUCCCCUACUAGAUUGAGUGGCUCAGUACAAACUUAAUUUUCACAUUUGGCUGUUAAUUUCUGAAUGUAGUUAACCAUUACAGUUCAAAUUUGAUGAUGUUCUGAAGCUUAUAAAUAAAAACUGUAUUACUUGAUUUUUUUCAUAACAUUCAAGUGGCAUAUUUCUUACAAUAAUUGGGUAAAGUUUUGAUUUGUACAAUAUACAAAGUUAGAUAGUUUUGUGUUUUGGAAAACAAUCCUUUGCUUUUUGAAAUUAAGCUAUUUAUUUGAUAAGGAAUAUUUCCCAAAUAAGCAAUAUGCCCUUGAUGUGUACUAUAUCGUGAUCAUAAUCAUUUUAAUUUAGAUUAUCAAGGUAGUUUGCUUAACUUGAAUGGUUUCUGAAUUUUCUUACAAGUGGUAAUGACUUUAUUGCUACCUGAUUUUUGUGGAAGAUUUCAUAUAUUCAUUUCAAAAGUGCUGUCAGGUUUUAUUCUUAUAUGUAAGAAUUGCGUUAAGGACUUAAAAAGGUAACAAAGUCAAUAUUUUAAGAAAAGCCCAGAUGGGCUAAUAAAGAUAACAGUCUUUGCCUUUUAAUAUAUAAGUCAAAAUGUACGUUACACUUAGAGCUUUAUAUUGAGAAUCUAUGAUACGGCAAAAUAUUAAAGAUAGGUAGGAAUAUGAGCAAAAGUACCUACUUUUGUAGUCUGCUGAAGCCAAACUUGGCUUCUCCCCACCAUUUUUAAAGGAAGGCGGAAUACUGCUUUCGCAAUUUUGGGAAAGGAGAUGAUAUGGCAGAUUACAUUGGUGUCAGUAAUUUUUGAAGUGGUGCAAAGUGAACUCCCAAGUGAAACCCACAGGCGACAAACUUGUACUGGUAGGUAGCUUUUUAAUCACAUUACCAGCCCAGUGUGAAGGAUUCCCUCAGACCUUUUUUUUCCACAAAUAAAAGUCAAUUCCACCAUUCUCUUAAGAGUUAAAUCAGUUUAGUUCACUUACUUGAUUUAAGACUUGUCUUUGUUCACAAUCUCUAUUCUUAUUAAGGUCAAAUUAAAUUUGGAAGCUUAAAAGUAAAUAAUCCUUUUUCUUAUAAAUUGCUUCAUUUGUUAACUUGCUAGGAGGAUAUUUUAGCAUCUUAACUCUUAGAGAUAAUUUUGAAGCAGGUCUUUCCUGCAUUUUUUGAUUAUGAUUAGUCAAAAUGACUAAACGGAUUAAGAUUUGGUAAUAUAAUCAAGAACUUGAUUUAUAAUUUGAAAAAUUGAAAUCUUAGUCAUGGAACAACAUUUGAAUAGGUUAGUUUUAACUUAAAUCCUAAACUAUUGUGCUUUCUAAAAAUCCUUAAAUUACUACACUUUAAUAUUGAACUUAGAGCUUCUAUGAUAGCUCUACAUAGUAUGGUUAUUAUACUUCAGAGCAGGAGUGACUGAAAAAAUACCUGUAGUCAGAGGGCAUUUGAAAUGUGAAAAACAUCAUUUUCCAUGUUUUGUUUAUGGGGCAUUUCAGUCUAAUUAGUGGAAAGUAUGGAUAUGGUAUUUUUGUUAACGUAUUUUAAAAAGGGUUAGAGUUAACUUGAGUAGGUCAAUACAGUUGGUGACAAAAGUCGUUUGAAAUUUUGUCUAAAGGUUUCUAUCACUUUAUCUUAAAAUAAUUUGAUUAAAUAUUGAACUAAUAAUAAUAAUAAUAAUAAUAAUAAUAAUAGAGAAACAUGGCCUUGCAGGUGGGUAAUGGAAGUUUUCCUUUACGAGUCUUGAAAGUAGAUUAGAUGAAAGAUCAGAAAAUAAUUCUGUACUGUUAAGAGGUGAUGUUGGACUCUGAAACAACUAGUUCUCUACCUUAAUUGCCCAUUAGAUCCAUAUAGGGAGGCCAGAUUUUAUCUGCUCUGUUGGGAGUUCUUAGGGGCUGAGACUUAUGAAUGGUUUUUGUAGUAACUUACUCUAUAGGUAAGUCUCCAAAUAGCCAGAUUGAAAAUCCUUGGGGCUAGAGGAG